AAACUUUACAAUGCGAGCAAUCGUGAUAAGGAAACCCUGAGUGCCUGUUGAUGCAGGCUGUUCAUCUGUUUAAAUUGCAGGUGAAGAAAGGGCAGGGCAAGACCGGUGCCAGCCGCCGCGGUAAUACCGGCUGCUCGAGUGAUGGCCACUAUUACUGGGUUUAAAGCGUCCGUAGCUUGACUGAUAGGUCUCUUGGGAAAUCUUAACGCUUAACGUUAAGGCGUCUAAGAGAUACCGUCAGUCUUGGAACUGGGAGAGGUAAACCGUACUUCGGGGGUAGGAGUGAAAUCUUGUAAUCCUCGAGGGACGACCUAUGGCGAAGGCAGUUUACCAGAACAGCUUCGACAGUGAGGGACGAAAGCUGGGGGAGCAAACGGG
rnacentral:rRNA from 1 species